CGAAAGUAUGGCUACAUAAGCAGGCAAGCAUGGAGGCAACUGUAUCUGCAGUGGUACAGAGGGUCAUCUCCAGUCGUAAGGUGCUGUCUGAUCCCUGGCUCCCUGUGCCAGAAUUUUAAACGACAGAGUAAGACCUCCACCUGCUCUCUGAAAAAGCUGGUGGUCAAGGUGUACAGGAUGGGGUUCAAGGCGCUGUUGAUGGGAAGGAUGAAGAUGACCACCCAGCUGGAGAUGGUAUCUCCACCUCCAGCAGUGAGAGGAUUUUCACCAUAAAUAUGGGAAUCCAGCAGAGGGCAUCAGAGAACACGAUGAAGAAAAAUCUGUUGGCCACAGCCACAUCUCUGUGCAGUCUGCUCCUCAAGUCCAUG